UCCUCAGCGCCCCAGCGAUCCAGUGCCCCUUGGGUGCGCCUUGAGGCCGAGGCAAGCUCCUUCGGGGUCCUGGGCUGCGGGCAAAGGAUUCGGCCCUGUAAGGAGUUGGGUUCGGCCUGUCCCAGACAGGUCCUGCCCACAUCCCAUCACAGGGCAGUGGACUUGAAGCCGGAGCGUGAAAUCCCCAUAGACUGAAUGCGUUUCCUUUCUACUUGUUCUCUCUCCCAUUUUAUUUUUAUUUUUAUAUUAUUUAAUUUUUUAUUUUUUAUUUUUGUAGAGACGGGGAUUUCGCUAUGUUGCCCAGGCUGAUCUCGAACUCCUGAGCUCAAGCAAUCCGCCCGCCUCGGCCCCCCAAGGUGCUGGAAUUACAGGCGUGAUGCACUGUGCCUGGCCUUUUUAAAAAAUGGAGGUUAUUUUGGGGAAGGUAGAGCGUCCAGACACAUCCUAAUUUGCAUAGCUGCGCAGUUUUACAAAAUGCAAUGCAUUUCUACCUGUUGUGAUUUCUGGCUGGUAAGCUACACCGAAUCUUGGCUAGCACAGUUGCAUUCCGUGUGAGAUUUGUAAACGCAGAUUUGCUCUCUGCAUUUAAAUAUAUUAGAUAUAUUUAAGUAACUACAUUUAAAUGUAUUGAGACAUUUAAACAUAUUUUCGUUCUGUAUCUAAAUGCGCUCCCUUCUGAAAAUAAAUAUCUGAAGUGGGCCGGGUGCGAUGGCUCACACCUAUAAUCCCAGCACUUUGGGAGGCCAAGGCGGGUGGAUCAUGAGGUCAGGAGUUCAUGCCUAGCCUGGCCAACAGGGUGAAAUCCUGUUUCUACUAAAAAUACAAAAAUUAACUGGGCAUGGUGGCGGGCGCCUGUAAUCCCAGCUACUUGGGAGGCUGAGGCAGGAGAAUCGCUGGAACCCAGGAGGCGGAGGCUGCAGUGAGCUGAGAUCGUGCCACUGCAGUCCGGCCUGGGUGACACAGCAAGACUCCGUCUCAAAAAAAAAAAAAAAAAAAAAAUCAGAAGUGGACUGUAGCCUAUAGUGUGUUGCCAAAUAAACUUAUUUUUAGAGAUACCUCUUUCAAUUUUCUGUGAGGUCAUCUGCGGUUUCACAUGGUAGACAGACUUCAGUGAGAUUCUUAGCAAGGUAGAAUGAAGAGUAAAGAGGUUUGUUUAUUUCACAAGGGUUUAUUGAAGGCCUACGAUGUGUUAAAUGCUGUAGGAAAUACCCAAUGAUUUCUCUUUCAUGGAGGUUUCCUGCCUUCUCUUAACAAGUUAUCAAUUAAACUGUUUACUGGAAAUUGCUAAGUUAAUGAACACACGGGAUACAUUCUUUGGAUGAGCAGACAUUGCUUGGGCAGAGGAGGAAGAGGAGAGCGGUUUAGACAGAGACCUGCUUAUACAGUGUAGUGUCUAAAAGAGCUUGUGAUGUUCAGGAAACAAUUGUUCACUGUGCUGCAAUAUAGGGGACGGCCGGUUGCGGUGGCUCACACCUGUAAUCCUAGCGCUUUGGGAGGCCAAGGUGGGCAGAUCACCUGAGGUCAGGAGUUCAAGACAAGCCUGCCCAACAUGGUGAAACCCCAUCUCUACUAAAAACACAAAAAUUAGCCGGGUGUGAUGGUGGGUGCCUGUAAUCCCAGCUACUUGGGAGGCUGAGACAGGAGAAUCGCUUGAACCUGGGAGGCGGAGGCUGCAGUGAGGUGAGAUCAUGCCAUUGCACGCUAGCCUGGGUGACAGGUACAGAACCUGCUAAGGCCAUCAAACCUAUUGAUCGGAAGUCAGUCCAUUGGAUUUGCUCUGGGCCGGUGGUACUGAGUCUAAGCACUGCGGUGAAGGAGUUAGUAGAAAACAGUCUGGAUGCUGGUGCCACUAAUAUUGAAUAGCUGGGCGUGGUGUUUCACGCCUGUAAUCCUAGCCCUUUGAGAGGCCGAGGUGGGGGGAUUGCUUGAGGCCAAGAGUUCAAGACCAACCUGGCCAACAUGAUCUAAAGUUAAGGACUAUGGAGUGGAUCUCAUUGAAGUUUCAGACAAUGGAUUUGGGGUAGAAGAAGAAAACUUUGAAGGCUUAAUCUCUUUCAGCUCUGAAACAUCACACAUCUAAGAUUCAAGAGUUUGCUGACCUAACUGAGGUUGAAACUUUCGGCUUUCAGGGGGAGGCUCUGAGCUCGCUGUGUGCACUGAGCGAUGUCACCAUUUCUACCUGCCAUGCAUCGGCGAAGGUUGGGAC